rnacentral:rRNA from 1 species
UACGUAGGGGGCUAGCGUUGUCCGGAAUCAUUGGGCGUAAAGCGCGCGUAGGCGGCCAGAUAAGUCCGGUGUGAAAGUCACAGGCUCAACCUGUGAAUGCCGCUGGAAACUGCCUGGCUUGAGUCCGGAAGGGGCGAGUGGAAUUCCUGGUGUAGCAGUGAAAUGCGUAGAUAUCAAGUGGAACACCAGUGGCGAAGGCGAGUCCCUGGACAACUCCUGACACUGAGGCACGAAAGCUAGGGGAGCAAACAGG